UAAAGCAGUGCAUAUUAGUUAGAUGAGAUUCAGCUCUGAAGAUACGAGAAGAAAGUGGAUAUUAGAAGACGACAAACAAAAAGAAAACUAGCAUUAAACUCGCUGACCUUAUAAAAAUGUAGAACCUACGGAUUGCCAUGCGUAGGUACUAAGAAGCAGCUAUCGAGAGGAGAGAAACAACUUCUCGAAUGGUAUGCAGAGAAAGGUAAUAAUUUUUCAUGUAUGUGUUAGAAGGCAAUAAUUUGCAGACAUAUGGUCAAGAGUGACUUCUAUCAACGCUACAUAUGGUGGUGUAUCUGGUUGAAGACACAUUUCUUAUGAAUCAUAUGAUCUCGUCUUGCAGGCAUAACGUUGAUCCUGAGUACCUACAUAGUAAAAGCAGAUCGUACUUCAAAGACUUGUUAGUGUAGCCAGGGAAUAUUUUAAAUAUCAAAAACUUGUUAUUGCAACUAGAUCCACUGUUUUGAUGUUGUCAGAUUUUGAUGUACAAGGUGCCGAUUCCAAGAACAUCUUCUACUUGAGAGAAAUCAAUGACCACUGAUAAGAUUGUGGAAGCAUUAAAAGCUAACAAAAAUGCAAAGGUCGUAGUUGUUGGAGGAGGGUACAUCGGUCUCGAGCUUACUGCUGUACUGAGACUGAACAAUAUUGAAGUCGAUAUGGUUUAUCCAGAACCGUGGUGCAUGCCUCAGCCUUUUACCGAGGGCAUAGUUGCAUUCUAUGAAAGUUAACAACAACAACAACAACAAACCCAGUGUAUUCCCACCUAGUGGGGUCUGGGGGGUAAGAUGUACGCAGUCCAUACCUCUACCUCUAAAGAAGUAGAAAGGCCGUUUCCGAUA